GAUUGGAGCGGCCGAUGGCAGAUUAGGUAGUUGGUGGGGUAAAGGCUCACCAAGCCGACGAUCUGUAGCUGGUCUGAGAGGACGACCAGCCACACUGGGACUGAGACACGGCCCAGACUCCUACGGGAGGCAGCAGUGGGGAAUUUUGGACAAUGGGCGAAAGCCUGAUCCAGCCAUUCCGCGUGCAGGAUGAAGGCCCUCGGGUUGUAAACUGCUUUUGUACGGAACGAAACGGU
rnacentral:rRNA from 1 species